AUGGAGGCCCCAACAUCUGAACAUCUGGCUGCAGUAAAACACAUAUUGCGCUAUGUGAAAGGAACACUCAAUUUUGGGUGUAGCUAUGUCAAGAAGAAAGGUGCGAAAGAUGAGCAGCUCCAUGGUUACAAUGAUAGUGACAUGGCGGGAGACGUGGACGAUUGGAAGAGCACAACCGGCGUUGCAUUUUUCCUUGGACCAAACUUGGUCAGUUGGCUCUCACAGAAGCAGAAGGUUGUAGCUCUUUCUUCUUGUGAGGCUGAAUAUAUAGCAGCAGCGACAGUGGCGUGUCAGGGAGUUUGGCUUGGACGACUACUUGGUGAUCUCCUAGACCAAGAACCAGAGAAGGUGCUAUUGAAGAUCGACAACAAAUCUGCAAUUUCCUUGUGCAAGAACCCUGUUCAUCAUGAUAGAAGCAAGCAUAUAGAUACAAGGUAUCAUUACAUAAGGGACUGUGUGGAGGAAGGAAAGGUGGAAGUCGAUCAUGUAUGCACUGAAGAUCAGCUAGCUGACAUCUUGACUAAAUCUCUUGGAAAACAGAAAUUUUUGGAGAUGAGGAAGAGAAUUGGAGUGGCAGCUGUGAAAUGA
rnacentral:rRNA from 1 species